GUGGGGAAUUUUGGACAAUGGGCGCAAGCCUGAUCCAGCCAUGCCGCGUGCAGGAUGAAGGCCUUCGGGUUGUAAACUGCUUUUGUACGGGAAGAAACACUCCCUCGUGAGGGAGCUUGACGGUACCGUAAGAAUAAGGAUCGGCUAACUCCGUGCCAGCAGCCGCGGUAAUACGGAGGAUCCAAGCGUUAUCCGGAAUCAUUGGGUUUAAAGGGUCCGUAGGCGGUUUAAUAAGUCAGUGGUGAAAGCCCAUCGCUCAACGAUGGAACGGCCAUUGAUACUGUUAGACUUGAAUUACAAGGAAGUAACUAGAAUAUGUAGUGUAGCGGUGAAAUGCUUAGAUAUUACAUGGAAUACCAAUUGCGAAGGCAGGUUACUACUUGUGGAUUGACGCUGAUGGACGAAAGCGUGGGGAGCGAACAGGAUUAGAUACCCCUGUAGUCC
rnacentral:rRNA from 1 species